CCUACGGGUGGCUGCAGUGGGGAAUAUUGCACAAUGGGCGCAAGCCUGAUGCAGCCAUGCCGCGUGUGUGAAGAAGGCCUUCGGGUUGUAAAGCACUUUCAGCGGGGAGGAAGGCGGUGAGGUUAAUAACCUCAUCGAUUGACGUUACCCGCAGAAGAAGCACCGGCUAACUCCGUGCCAGCAGCCGCGGUAAUACGGAGGGUGCAAGCGUUAAUCGGAAUUACUGGGCGUAAAGCGCACGCAGGCGGUCUGUCAAGUCGGAUGUGAAAUCCCCGGGCUCAACCUGGGAACUGCAUUCGAAACUGGCAGGCUAGAGUCUUGUAGAGGGGGGUAGAAUUCCAGGUGUAGCGGUGAAAUGCGUAGAGAUCUGGAGGAAUACCGGUGGCGAAGGCGGCCCCCUGGACAAAGACUGACGCUCAGGUGCGAAAGCGUGGGGAGCAAACAGGAUUAGAUACCGUGUAGUC
rnacentral:rRNA from 1 species